rnacentral:rRNA from 1 species
AAAAAGCUCGUAGUUGGAUUUUUAAGGGUGUCUGCUUCUAGUGUCCUUUCGUGACUCUAAAGUUGCAGACUCCCCUUAUUUUGCCUCAGUGCUCGGUUGGGAUUCAUUUCUCGAUCGGGCUUCCGGGGCGUGUUUACUUUGAGAAAAUUAGAGUGUUCAAAACAGUCUUGUGAUUGUAUAUCAUAGCAUGGAAUAAUAACUGAUGACGUCGGUCAUUUUUUGUUGGUUCGGAUGGCUGAAGUAAUGAUUGAUAGAGUUAGUCGGAGGUAUUAGUAUUUUAUCGUUAGAGGUGAAAUUCAUGGAUCGGUAAAAGACUAACAACUGCGAAAGCAUUUAUCUAGGAUUUGCUCUUUGAUCAAGAACGAAAGUUGGGGGAUCGAAGACGAUCAGAUACCGUCGUAGUCUCAACUAUAAACUAUACCAGCUAGGGAUUGGUGGGCGUUGCUUGACCUCAUCAGAACCUUAUGAGAAAUCAAAGCAUUUGGGUUCCGGGGGGAGUAUGGUCGCAAGGCUGAAACUUAAAGGAAUUGACGGAAGGGCACCACAAGUUGUGGAUCCUGUGGCUUAAUUUGACUCAACGCGGGAAAACUUACCAGGUCCAGACAUAGCAAGGGAUUGACAGAUUGAUAGCUCUUUCUUGAU